GCAAGCUACUGUAACAAAGAGUUUCCCUACAGGGAUCAAUAAAGUAUUUCUGAUUCUGAUUCUGAUUCUGAACUGUUUAAAAAACUACGAUUUCUCACUAAACAUAGUGCUGGUUGGUUGAUCAGAUACACACCGAAUUAAAUAGACUCAUAACACUGCUAAUUCGGUUAACGGUAUUUCAUCUUUUUUUCUGGCCAUUAAAGCUAACGGCAGAUUAGCGCAGAUUAAAAUACAUUUCUAGCCAAAAGAAAAACAUUUCACCUGUUCUUAAGUCAUAAACACAGGAUAGAAAACUAUUUUGAUCAGACUUGAUCAGAAAAUGGAUCACCAGAAAAAAGCCUUAUCCCUCUGCUUCUUUCUCACUGAUCAGACUUUUGCCCUCACUAUUGGCUUUGCAGUUACGCUGCCUGCUCUCUCCUUUGCGCUACCUGACUUUAUGUUUGCUGUUCCCCUCUGUACCUCUCGUGUUGGCGUUUUUCUCAGGGGUGCGUCCCCAUGGCUAAUGAGUUUUUGAGUGGCAGCUCAGUGUCCCGGACUGGCCGCUGCUGAAUGUUGCCAUUAUGUGUCUGUGCGUCCGCCAUAUUGUAGCGAUCAAGAUCCUCUAGUUAACAAAUACAAUGUGUAUUGAUGCAGACGUCACUACAAAAUGAUUAAUAAUUAAAUCAAAUAUUAAUAAAAUGAACAAGACUAGUUUUGUUACCCAGACUUCAGUUAAGAACAUCCAGUCACUUCAUCCGUACACCAAGUAUGAUGACUUUAGCAUGUAUAGUGUUUGAGAGCUUGAUGAAUAUAUGCGCACUCACAGUCAAUCUCAAAUUACUGUAACAGAUAUCAAAAAGAUGGCACACAUUCUUUAUAUGAAAAUUGGAAUGAUGUGUCUAUCUGCAAAAAAUGUGCGAGUAGAAGCGAUCCAAAAAAUGUAUGGAAUAAGAAGAAGAAUACUAAGUAUAAACUAGAAUGUGCAAUUUCUUGAGGAAUUGCGUGUGAGAGCUGGCUGCUGCUUCCGCUGCUCCCAGCUACAGCAGCAGUUUUUUAAAACUUUUAGCAACACCUACAGGUGAAACUGAAUCAAAUGCUACAGACUUGCGCCCAAAAACCCUCAUUCUAUGUUCCAAUUGUUCCAAUUUGUGUUCCAACUCCUGGUCAAUGGUCUUCUCGGUGAUGUCCCGCCCCUUCCAGUCCACUCCCAUUUAGCCAGUCAGAUGGCUAAAUGGGAGAAGCGGAUUUGUUCCAAUUUCUCUCAGUGAUCCCGUCUCCUGCAAGCUGACAUUUUACUGCUGCAGAGACAGAAGCAAGUCGGUGAGUAAAGCAUUUGUCAUUUAUUAUGAAGUAUUGGUGGAAAACGUGUUAAAAACUCAUAUUUCUGUCUGACAUUAGUCAUACUGAGCUAACCAAGGUGUUUUUAUGUUGUGAAAUAGUUGAGUGAUGGAUGAGACAGUGUAAAGUUAGAGCCGGAGCUUUAUUAGUUCUUACAAUGUCAAACUUUAAUUUUACUUUAAGGAAUUUAUUAUAUAAACUUUUUAUAAAUUGCUUUGUGUUAGCCAGCUAUUGUUCAUGCUGUUUUAACCAUUUUAAACACUGUACUGUGUUAAUAGCAUGCUAACACACCCACCGCUGUCAGCUGGUCGGUGUGUUUUAUACUACAUAUGUGAUUAACAGUCCAGCAGAGCUGAAGGCAGCUGACAUGUUUUAUGGGGAAACCAGCAGCUGGUCGAGUGACUGGUGAAUUUAAACGUGUGUCUGUCAAUGGCUGGUAGAUUUUAAAAAGUAAACUUUUUCACCAGUCAGCUGUCCAACCACUUAAUGUAGAUUUCAAAUAUUUCAUGUCAGAAAAUCUGUGAUAACAUGAUGACGCUGCUCUGAUUAACAGUCUGCCAAACACCAUACAGGGCAAAGAAGUCAGAGGAUGUGGAUGCUGAGGCUUGGGCCCACAUCUCCUCCGAGGGUGGUGACACCGCCAACGCCACCCUCGUCCUGAGUCGGUGGAAGGUCCAGUUCGGCCAGUACCAGGGCAAGACUGGCUCCUGGAGAAUGACGUGGGCUACGUCGCCUCCCACCAGAAGGAGCGAGAGAGGACAGGGUCUCAGUCCCCGCUGAUGGCCAACAAAGUGGAGUCCUUCAGUCUGAUUCAUACAAUACAAUGAAAAGAGUGGUGACAGGUUUAACUUCUCUUUGUGAACUUGCAGGACGCCUUCACCUGUUACUCCUCAGCGUACCCUGACUUUGUGGAGGCAGUCAGCUUCCACCAGGGUUUGAAGUCCCCACUCCUGCACCCACCAGGGUGCAGGAGAAGUCCCUCCAGUUCGGUCAGGAGGGACAGGCCCUUGUUGGCUUCGGGGACUUCAAAUUUAGACCCUGCAGAGCCUGUACGAGUCUGAGGGCCCCAAAAAGAUCCGAUUUGUCAACCACCUCCAGAGGAAGGUGCCAGCUCCCGGCACGCAGAUGGAGAAUGCUGUCCGCUACAUCAGGAGCAGAGACAGACAGCGAGCUGCUGCUGCUGCAUCCACCACCACCGCCACCGACCGUUCCAACCAGCAGCACCACCACCAAGUCCAGCCUAAAGUAAACACACAGUUAAACUGUAUUGGAUUUCUUGUUUUUACUGUAUAUUUCCUGUUUCUUGUCUCUCGUCGGGUGAUUACAGCCUCCUUCAGACUAGCCCCUCCCUCAACACCAUCCGAGGAUCCUUCAGAUGACAUCGAGGAGUCUGCUGCCUGAGUUCUGGCGGGCAGCUCUCACUGUGGAGCAGCAGCAGUGGUUUGGUCGGGUGCUGUUUACCAGUGAGCUGAAACUCUGGUGGUACCCCCCCAAACCUGGCUAGUCUACCACCAGCCCCCCGCAUCCCCCUACCCCUUCUUCGCAUGUCGGCUGUUCCUCUAGAUGCCACACCGGAUCUGGCAUCUGCAACUGACAUUCCCCCAGCCUUUGUGCACAGGGUCCAUGACAAAGGCUGGGCUGUACAGGACCAUCCGGAAGGUCCUGGACAUCGACGGCUGGUAUCUCAUGGCCACUGGACUGCCGUCGAUGUAAGAAGAAGGUCGGAGAGUGGUCACAGGGCAUCAUAAGGCAGCUGCCCCCCACCUACAGCUGCCAGUUCCCAGCUGAACUUACGUACAAGCUGUCCUGUGACCUGAGGGUGAUCGCACAGUUGAGGUCCCGCACUCUGGGCAACAGUGCUGCUCGGCUGUGCAACACCCUGCGCGGAGCAACACUCAGAUGCCUGGAUGCGGAGAGCAAUCCAGUACCUCGGCGUGUCAGCGAGCAGUUCCUGGCGUGUGAGAGGGCAGUUUCCACCACCACCCCAGAUGCCCCCUCUGCCUGUUUGGCAGCUGACAGUGUACGGCUACGACGUCCUGACGUGGCCAGGAACACGUCCACCUUCUGAUCCAUCUUGAAGAUGGAUUCGACCAAGAAGGAGUGGGGACAGCUCGUGGUUCGACACGACAUCGUGUACCUGAUGCGGCGCUUCACAGCAGGUGUCACCACAGAGAGCCACAAGCUUUACCCCACCUUCACGAGGCAGCUGUCUCACUGCAUCUUCAAGGUGGACCCUGGAGACGCCUGCCGUCUCACUGAAGCUAAGCGGUCCCAGCUGGAGGGGAAGCACGGGAUGGUCGGCCUGACUGAUGCCGAGGUGAUCCAGAGGAUCUCCAGAGAGGUGUGGAGGCUCCACUGUCACCGCCGGACACGUGGUACAGAGGAGACAGCACUUCUCAUCCAGGACCUCCUCAACACCUUCGGUGGGGCAGCAGGAUGUGACAACCUGGAGAUCCUGUUGCUAGAUUCUCUCCGCAUCCAGUACACAUGGAGUACACAGAGGCGCCACCUCAGCUGCAUUCAGGACUGCACAAAGGGGCUCCACAUCGCUACUUAUUGUUGUGACUUAUUUGUAUUUAAUAUUAACAUAUUAAGAAAAAGCAGUUGUAAGAAAAAUUUAUUUUAUUGUGAAAUGUGCGCAACAGGAUGCAAUGUGUGUGUCCGCCAUCUUGACUAAAAGAAGUUCGCGGUGCUGCGUUGCAGCCAGAGUUCAAUAAAG